GACGGAGGAUGCAAGCGUUAUCCGGAAUGAUUGGGCGUAAAGCGUCCGCAGGUGGCAGUUCAAGUCUGCUGUCAAAGACCGGGGCUUAACUUCGGAAAGGCAGUGGAAACUGAACAGCUAGAGUAUGGUAGGGGCUGAGGGAAUUCCUGGUGUAGCGGUGAAAUGCGUAGAGAUCAGGAAGAACAUCGGUGGCGAAGGCGCUCUGCUGGACCAUAACUGACACUCAGGGACGAAAGCUAGGGGAGCGAAUGGG
rnacentral:rRNA from 1 species